GUGACAUCUCCCUGAGCAGAGGAAGAGGCGUUGCUCGUCUGCCAGGGACCCGGUAUGUCACUGAAGAUAAGAAAACACUCACUUCCGGCCAAGAGUUGAAAAGAGGAAAACGGGGCUUCAGCAAUAUGUUCUAAAGCUUCCCAUUCCUCUGAUCCGUCGGAAGAAGAGAUCCGCCAUUUGGAGCAUGUGACCCAUCGAAGUGACGUCAGCAAGACAACAAACCAGGUCACGUGACUGGUUUGUAAAGUGAGCAAAAGAGGCUGAAAAGGGGGAUGCUGGAUGCUAGCUGACACCCACCGGCCCCGUUCCGGCUGCAACCUGGCAAACAUGCUGCGGAACGCCCUUCCACAUGCGUACAGUACACAGCUGUCUGCAUCUUUUGCGGCCCUAUUGAGUUGAAUGGGUCCGCAUGCAAAUAUGAUAUGGUAAAUUAAAUUGUGCCA